GGGUGCGUAACACGUGAGCAACCUGCCGAUCUGAGGGGGAUAGCCGGCCCAACGGCCGGGUAAUACCGCAUACGCUUCUUGAGGGACAUCCCUUGGGAAGGAAACCUCCGGGGCAGAUCGAGGGGCUCGCGGCCUAUCAGCUAGUUGGUGAGGUAACGGCUCACCAAGGCAUCGACGGGUAGCUGGUCUGAGAGGAUGGCCAGCCACAUUGGGACUGAGAGACGGCCCAG
rnacentral:rRNA from 1 species